GCAGACGGCGGAGAGCAGAGAGGGAGCGCGCCUUGGCUCGCUGGCCUUGGCGGCGGCUCCUCAGGAGAGCUGGGGCGCCCACGAGAGGAUCCCUCACCCGGGUCUCUCCUCAGGGAUGACAUCAUCCGUCCACCUCCUUGUCUUCAAGGACCACCUCCUCUCCAUGCUGAGCUGCUGCCAAGGGGCCUGCUGCCCAUCUACACCUCACGAGGGCACUAGGAGCACGGUUUCCUGGAUCCCACCAACAUACAAAGCAGCCACUCACUGACCCCCAGGACCAGGAUGGCAAAGGAUGAAGAGGACCGGAACUGACCAGCCAGCUGUCCCUCUUACCUAAAGACUUAAACCAAUGCCCUAGUGAGGGGGCAUUGGGCAUUAAGCCCUGACCUUUGCUAUGCUCAUACUUUGACUCUAUGAGUACUUUCCUAUAAGUCUUUGCUUGUGUUCACCUGCUAGCAAACUGGAGUGUUUCCCUCCCCAAGGGGGUGUCAGUCUUUGUCGACUGACUCUGUCAUCACCCUUAUGAUGUCCUGAAUGGAAGGAUCCCUUUGGGAAAUUCUCAGGAGGGGGACCUGGGCCAAGGGCUUGGCCAGCAUCCUGCUGGCAACUCCAAGGCCCUGGGUGGGCUUCUGGAAUGAGCAUGCUACUGAAUCACCAAAGGCACGCCCGACCUCUCUGAAGAUCUUCCUAUCCUUUUCUGGGGGAAUGGGGUCGAUGAGAGCAACCUCCUAGGGUUGUUGUGAGAAUUAAAUGAGAUAAAAGAGGCCUCAGGCAGGAUCUGGCAUAGAGGAGGUGAUCAGCAAAUGUUUGUUGAAAAGGUUUGACAGGUCAGUCCCUUCCCACCCCUCUUGCUUGUCUUACUUGUCUUAUUUAUUCUCCAACAGCACUCCAGGCAGCCCUUGUCCACGGGCUCUCCUUGCAUCAGCCAAGCUUCUUGAAAGGCCUGUCUACACUUGCUGUCUUCCUUCCUCACCUCCAAUUUCCUCUUCAACCCACUGCUUCCUGACUCGCUCUACUCCGUGGAAGCACGCUCACAAAGGUUCCCAGUGCCCCCGACAAGCCCCUGCUGGUGUCUCCAUCUCCUGCCAAGCAUCCUCCAGUGCCUCCUCCUGUGGGCCUGGCCUCAGGGCUAUGGACAGACUCCUGUCCCAUCCCAGAGACCCCUCGUGAUCGUGCCCUGUAGUCACCCCACUCCACCGAAAAGUAAACUGCAGGCACGUGGGCCGUGGCCCGGCUGGGUCGGCUGAAGAACUGCGGAUGGAAGCUGCGGAAGAGGCCCUGAUGGGGCCCACCAUCCCGGACCCAAGUCUUCUUCCUGGCGGGCCUCUCGUCUCCUUCCUGGUUUGGGCGGAAGCCAUCACCUGGAUGCCUACGUGGGAAGGGACCUCGAAUGUGGGACCCCAGCCCCUCUCCAGCUCGAAAUCCCUCCACAGCCACGGGGACACCCUGCACCUAUUCCCACGGGACAGGCUGGACCCAGAGACUCUGGACCCGGGGCCUCCCCUUGAGUAGAGACCCGCCCUCUGACUGAUGGACGCCGCUGACCUGGGGUCAGACCCGUGGGCUGGACCCCUGCCCACCCCGCAGGAACCCUGAGGCCUAGGGGAGCUGUUGAGCCUUCAGUGUCUGCAUGUGGGAAGUGGGCUCCUUCACCUACCUCACAGGGCUGUUGUGAGGGGCGCUGUGAUGCGGUUCCAAAGCACAGGGCUUGGCGCACCCCACUGUGCUCUCAAUAAAUGUGU
rnacentral:lncRNA from 1 species